CCUGGUGGCUCAGAAGGAAAAGCAUCUGCCUGCAAUGCAGGAGACCCAGGUUCGAUCCCUGGGUCAGGA
rnacentral:tRNA from 1 species